rnacentral:rRNA from 1 species
GAUGGACGCUGGCGGCGUGCCUAAUACAUGCAAGUCGAGCGAACAGACGAGGAGCUUGCUCCUCUGACGUUAGCGGCGGACGGGUGAGUAACACGUGGAUAACCUACCUAUAAGACUGGGAUAACUUCGGGAAACCGGAGCUGAUACCGGAUAACAUGUUGAACCGCAUGGUUCAACAGUGAAAGACGGUCUUGCUGUCACUUAUAGAUGGAUCCGCGCCGCAUUAGCUAGUUGGUAAGGUAACGGCUUACCAAGGCAACGAUGCGUAGCCGACCUGAGAGGGUGAUCGGCCACACUGGAACUGAGACACGGUCCAGACUCCUACGGGAGGCAGCAGUAGGGAAUCUUCCGCAAUGGGCGAAAGCCUGACGGAGCAACGCCGCGUGAGUGAAGAAGGUCUUCGGAUCGUAAAACUCUGUUAUUAGGGAAGAACAAAUGUGUAAGUAACUAUGCACGUCUUGACGGUACCUAAUCAGAAAGCCACGGCUAACUACGUG